GCGUUUGCAACCGUGGGAAUAAUCUCACUCUCCAACAAACAAUGAAGAAAUCAAAUCAAUUCACACAAUGUCUAACAAUUAUAAAUGGUAAUGCGGAAGCACGAAGAUCACUAAGGACUUUUCGGUUGUAGCUUGGUUAGGUUAACAAACAGGGGUCAUUUCUAAGGCCAUUGAAAACGAAAUUGCUGAUGCAAAAGAGACAUUCACUGUACACUAUUCAUACAUCUCAACUUCGUUCCAUUUGUUUCUCAUUUGAAACCUUCACAACUCUUAUUUCACAACUCAAUUUUUGUUUUUCACUAUUUUUCUUCCAAGCAAGCAUUCAUUUUUAUUUUCUCUAUUUUUUUUUCUUUCACAUCAUAUUUACAAAACAGAUGUUUGUCU
rnacentral:lncRNA from 1 species